GAUGAACGCUGGCGGCGUGCCUAAUACAUGCAAGUCGAGCGAACGGACGAGAAGCUUGCUUCUCUGAUGUUAGCGGCGGACGGGUGAGUAACACGUGGAUAACCUACCUAUAAGACUGGGAUAACUUCGGGAAACCGUAGCUAAUACCGGAUAAUAUUUUGAACCGCAUGGUUCAAAAGUGAAAGACGGUCUUGCUGUCACUUAUAGAUGGAUCCGCGCCGCAUUAGCUAGUUGGUAAGGUAACGGCUUACCAAGGCAACGAUGCGUAGCCGACCUGAGAGGGUGAUCGGCCACACUGGAACUGAGACACGGUCCAGACUCCUACGGGAGGCAGCAGUAGGGAAUCUUCCGCAAUGGGCGAAAGCCUGACGGAGCAACGCCGCGUGAGUGAAGAAGGUCUUCGGAUCGUAAAACUCUGUUAUUAGGGAAGAACAAAUGUGUAAGUAACUAUGCACGUCUUGACGGUACCUAAUCAGAAAGCCACGGCUAACUACGUGCCAGCAGCCGCGGUAAUACGUAGGUGGCAAGCGUUAUCCGGAAUUAUUGGGCGUAAAGCGCGCGUAGGCGGUUUUUUAAGUCUGAUGUGAAAGCCCACGGCUCAACCGUGGAGGGUCAUUGGAAACUGGAAAACUUGAGUGCAGAAGAGGAAAGUGGAAUUCCAUGUGUAGCGGUGAAAUGCGCAGAGAUAUGGAGGAACACCAGUGGCGAAGGCGACUUUCUGGUCUGUAACUGACGCUGAUGUGCGAAAGCGUGGGGAUCAAACAGGAUUAGAUACCCUGGUAGUCCACGCCGUAAACGAUGAGUGCUAAGUGUUAGGGGGGUUCCGCCCCUUAGUGCUGCAGCUAACGCAUUAAGCACUCCGCCUGGGGAGUACGACCGCAAGGUUGAAACUCAAAGGAAUUGACGGGGACCCGCACAAGCGGUGGAGCAUGUGGUUUAAUUCGAAGCAACGCGAAGAACCUUACCAAAUCUUGACAUCCUUUGACAACUCUAGAGAUAGAGCCUUCCCCUUCGGGGGACAAAGUGACAGGUGGUGCAUGGUUGUCGUCAGCUCGUGUCGUGAGAUGUUGGGUUAAGUCCCGCAACGAGCGCAACCCUUAAGCUUAGUUGCCAUCAUUAAGUUGGGCACUCUAAGUUGACUGCCGGUGACAAACCGGAGGAAGGUGGGGAUGACGUCAAAUCAUCAUGCCCCUUAUGAUUUGGGCUACACACGUGCUACAAUGGACAAUACAAAGGGCAGCGAAACCGCGAGGUCAAGCAAAUCCCAUAAAGUUGUUCUCAGUUCGGAUUGUAGUCUGCAACUCGACUACAUGAAGCUGGAAUCGCUAGUAAUCGUAGAUCAGCAUGCUACGGUGAAUACGUUCCCGGGUCU
rnacentral:rRNA from 1 species